rnacentral:rRNA from 1 species
ACUACGGGAGGCAGCAGUGGGGAAUAUUGCACAAUGGGGGAAACCCUGAUGCAGCGACGCCGCGUGAGUGAAGAAGUAAUUCGUUAUGUAAAGCUCUAUCAGCAGGGAAGAAAAUGACGGUACCUGAGUAAGAAGCCCCGGCUAACUACGUGCCAGCAGCCGCGGUAAUACGGGGGAUACAAGCGUUAUCCGGAUUUACUGGGUGUAAAGGGCGAGUAGGCGGGAUUGCAAGUCAGAUGUGAAAACUAUGGGCUCAACCGAUAGAGUGCAUUUGAAACUGCAGUUCUUGAGGGAUGGAGAGGCAGGCGGAAUUCCCGGUGUAGCGGUGGAAUGCGUAGAUAUCGGGAGGAACACCAGUGGCGAAGGCGGCCUGCUGGACAUUAACUGACGCUGAGGCGCGAAAGCGUGGGGAGCAAACAGGAUUAGAUACCCCUGUAGUC